rnacentral:rRNA from 1 species
GACGAACGCUGGCGGCGUGCUUAACGCAUGCAAGUCGAACGGAAAGGCCCUGCUUGCAGGGUACUCGAGUGGCGAACGGGUGAGUAACACGUGGGUGAUCUGCCCUGCACUUCGGGAUAAGCCUGGGAAACUGGGUCUAAUACCGGAUAGGAGCCAUUUUUAGUGUGAUGGUUGGAAAGUUUUUUCGGUGUAGGAUGAGCUCGCGGCCUAUCAGCUUGUUGGUGGGGUAAUGGCCUACCAAGGCGGCGACGGGUAGCCGGCCUGAGAGGGUGGACGGCCACAUUGGGACUGAGAUACGGCCCAGACUCCUACGGGAGGCAGCAGGGGGGAAUAUUGCACAAUGGGCGCAAGCCUGAUGCAGCGACGCCGCGUGGGGGAUGACGGCCUUCGGGUUGUAAACUCCUUUCGCUAGGGACGAAGCUUUUUGUGACGGUACCUAGAGAAGAAGCACCGGCUAACUACGUG